rnacentral:rRNA from 1 species
UGGGGAAUAUUGCACAAUGGAGGGAACUCUGAUGCAGCGACGCCGCGUGAGUGAUGAAGGACUUCGUUUCGUAAAACUCUGUUCUAUGGGAAGAAAAGGACUGUACCAUAGGAGAAAGCUCCGGCUAAAUACGUGCCAGCAGCCGCGGUAAUACGUAUGGAGCGAGCGUUGUCCGGAAUUAUUGGGCGUAAAGGGUGCGCAGGCGGCUUUACAAGUUGGAUGUGAAAUAUUGUGGCUCAACCACAAACGUGCAUCCAAAACUGCAAAGCUUGAGUUAAGGAGAGAUAAGUGGAAUUCCUGGUGUAGCGGUGGAAUACGUAGAUAUCAGGAGGAAUACCGGUGGCGAAGGCGACUUACUGGACUUAAACUGACGCUCAGGCACGAAAGCGUGGGGAGCAAACAGG